ACGUAAAUAUUGCCCCGAAUUUGUUCCCUAAACUUAUAAUGUGCAUCUUAAUCUUUCUUGCAGCUAAAAGUUAUUGGCGUUCGGUACGCCUUUGUUUCUGAAGUUUUCAUUGGAGGUAUCUGCUGCUUAUUGUCGGGCUUUUUAGAGUAUUUCCCUCCCGGGGGUUCAUUCGUCGUAAUCUCUAUAUUGAUCCGCGUCAUUCAUGCGGCCGGAAACGCUGGUACAAUUACGUCGACGUUUACUUACACUGCUGUAGAGUUUCCCAAUUCGGUUGCCAAAAUCUUUAGUCUUACAAGAACAAUGAUGAACAUUGCCCAGUUUGCUGGUCCUAUAGUCGGUGGUGCAUUGCAUGAAGUUGGUGGUUUUAAGACUACCUUUAUCCUCAUGGGAGGAAUUCAAACUAUUAUGGCCUUUAUUGCAUUACCCUUUCUCGCCGAUUAUGACGUGUCACAGUAUGACGAGGGAUAAACUAAAACUCAAUCGCCAUUGGCUAUUUUGUGUAUUCCAUCCAUUUGGAUCCCGUUCUUCACGUUCAUCGUAUCGACAUGUCGAACGGGUUCCUCUCGAUCAACUUUGAACCGCAAGUGUUG